rnacentral:rRNA from 1 species
CCUACGGGCGGCUGCAGUGGGGAAUAUUGCACAAUGGGGGAAACCCUGAUGCAGCGACGCCGCGUGAGUGAAGAAGUAUUUCGGUAUGUAAAGCUCUAUCAGCAGGGAAGAAAAUGACGGUACCUGAUUAAUAAGCCCCGGCUAACUACGUGCCAGCAGCCGCGGUAAUACGUAGGGGGCAAGCGUUAUCCGGAUUUACUGGGUGUACAGGGAGCGUAGACGGCAGCACAAGUCUGGAGUGAAAUGCCGGGGCUUAACCCCGGAACUGCUUUGGAUACGGUGCAGCUAGAGUGCAGGAGAGGUAAGUGGAAUUCCUAGUGUAGCGGUGAAAUGCGGAGAUAUUAGGAGGAACACCAGUGGCGAAGGCGGCUUACUGGACUGUAACUGACGUUGAGGCUCGAAAGCGUGGGGAGCAAACAGGAUUAGAUACCCCAGUAGUC